AAGGCGGAGAAGACACACAUCUCCAGAUCUGACAAGACUCAUCAGCUUGCACCAACUCAUGUGUCCGAGUCUUUUCUUGUUUUUGCCAGACAUCUCUGCCCUUCCAGACCCUCAAAACUGCUGAGGCUGAUCCAGGCAAUUUAAUCUGAUAAGUGAGAAGUGUCUGCUCCUGACAGCACCAAGUUACUUCAAAAAAGGAUGAUGGACAUUGAAGAACCUCCAUAUGGAGUUUCCUUUCUCUAUGGUAAAGCUAGCCAUCCGAGCAAGAGACUUCCCUUGCCUCAACUGCUGACUGUAUGCUGUCCAAAGUAGAUAAUAAGGAUACAAAUGAAGGUGACUGCCAAACUUUGCCAAGACAUGGUAGGACAUUCCAUCAAAAAUUUCCUACUUUACAAAAAAGUCUGUCAGAUAUUCUAUGCCUGCAAACUGAAGAUUGGUGCCCCCAAAUUGCUUAGGAAACUUAGGGUGACUGUCCAGAAAGCCAGAUGUCUCUGUCCUUUUUUAGUUUUGAAAGUUGCUUGCUCUGUAUUUCCUGUUUAAUUACUUAAUCCUAUAUCUUUUCUUGGGUCUCAGAUGAGGUUGAAAAUGAGAUAAUUAUAAUGUUACAGUUUUCCUUGUUACAGAAAUCAGGAAAGAAAUUUAUAUAAGGGUUAUAAAGUAUGUAAGGCUGAGAAGCAUAAAAGCUUAGGUUAUUUAUCUAAAACAAUGUUUUAAGGUCUAUAAAACAUUUUUUUCAGAUGGUAAUGCAAAUUAUGAUAGGAAUUGGCUUAGUUAUAAAACUUAGGACUCACUCAGACAGGAGAAAAGAUAUAGUACCUUCUCCAGAUUUGCCAAAUACUAAUGGACUGGAUAUUGUAAACGUAAUUCUUAUCUGAUAAUUUUUCUUGUUGUACACAGUUUUACCAUGUCAGAGAUAAAACCUUUUCUUUUUAGACAAAAGUGGGAAAUGUGGGGUAUUUGUACACUGUGUGAAGGUGUAUUGCUAUGAUUGUUGUAAUAAAAAAUUUAAUGGUCAAAAGCUAGGCAGGAGUUAUAUGUGGGACUUCUGGGCAGAGAGAGGAAGUAGAAAGAGGAAUUUUGGGCACAAAAGAGAGAUAUGAGAAGACACAGAGGGAGCAGGAUAGGUGGUACAUGAUAGAAUGUAGAUUAAUGUAAAUAGAUUAAUUUAAGUUAUAAGAGCUAGUUGAGACAAGCCUAAGCUAUAGGGCAAGCUUUCAUAAUUAAUAAGAAAUUUCUGUGUCAUUAUUUGGGAUCUGGUGGUACAGAGAAAGACUUAUUACAAUACAUCUCAAUGAAAUUCAAUACAAUUACUCUUUUAAUUUGAUAUUAGAGCAGGGAUGGUGAUGUUAGCUGAGUUCAUUUAUUGGGACUAAGAAACAUCGUUCUGUGAAUGAUGUAAGACUAGAAGGUGGAAAGAGAAAAGAUAUUGAAGCAGUCUGAAAUUUAUCAGGAAGGAUGUCACUGGAUUAGAAAUCAACCAUAGACUUUGGGUUAGAUGUUCUAUAGAGGCUCUUGUAUCCUUUAAUUAUCUUUAUUAUCCAGCACAAAGAUUUAACCCUGAGCUUGCCUUUUUCUCUCUACCACUUUUCCCAUGAGAAAGGAUACUGACCUCUUAGGAAGCCUGUCUCUGCUUUUCUUAUCUGCCUAUAUCCUAUUAACAUCCUCUUAUUCACAUUUUUCAGAGAUCAACAAGGAAAGAGGACAGAUGAAGGAUGGGGCAACAUUCAGAGCAUUUCCAAGGAGGGUCAAUCUAAAAGACCAUGAUAAGACUUAGUUGAUGGCAUAUAUAUGGAGCACAAGGAAGCCGUUUGAUUAUUUAGGUUGUGUCCUUGGAUUGUGAUUUGUGGGUUAUGUAGCAUUGGUGUCAUACAUAAUGUAAUACUGUCAGUAUUACUAUAAUUCUUACUGAGAGUCAGUAAGAGAGUUGGGAUAACUUUGCUUAGGUCAGAGGAUGAGAAUAAGCAAGAAAACUAUCCCAAGAAGCCUUUUCAUAUUCUAUCAUAGUUGUUAAGAAGGUAUAUGAUUUGAUUUGCCCUCAUUGUGCACUACAAGAUGUACAUCAUUGAUAAUUCCAUUAGUCUGCCUUAAGAAUAUCAGUUUUGAGUUUUUCAUCUCCCAGUUCAUGUUUAGAGGUUGGCCAUUGGGUCUCACUUAUUACAGUCUCCCAGGAAAUGCUAAGAGACAGGAUCAGACCAAGGAGCUUUUAAUAUCUAUAUUGUCAUAAGUAUUAUUUGAGAGAUUAAAAUGUAACUGUAUAGUUAUUUGUUUGUCAGAAAAGACUCCUGCACAAGGGUUGAGCUACCUGGAAAAUUAACAAGAUAAAUCAGUAAAAGAAAUUCUCUCAAUAAAAGUGAGACAAAUUAUCUUAUGGGUUAUAACACUAUGGGCUAAGCCUGACUGUAAUUUGGAUUACAUUCUUAUUCAGGAUAUACCUAGAUAUCAAUAUCUAAUUGACAAUUUAAGUGAUUAAUAAAAUUCCAUUAGUUCUUGUGUUAUAAGGUUUCUUAGCAACACCCCAAUGGGAAACAUUUGUAUAUCCAGAAUAAUGCUGUGGGAUGUUCUGUAUAUCAAAUGUGUUGCUCUGAAUGGUUAAUAAAUAAAACACUGAUUGGCCAGUAGCCAGGCAGGAAGUAUAGAUGGGACACACAGAAAAGAGAAUUCUGGGAAGUGAAAGGCUGAGGCAGAGAGACACUGCCAGCUGCCACCAUGACAAGCGAGAUGUAAGGUACCGGUAAGCCAUGAGCCACGUGGCAAAGUAUAGAUUAAUAGAAAUGGGUUAAUUUAAGAUAAAAGAAGUAGAUAACAAGAAGCCUGCUGUGGCCAUACAGUUUGUAAGCAAUAUAAGUCUCUGUGUGUUUACUUGGUUGGGUCUGAGCUGCUGUGGGACUGGCUGUUAAAAGAGAUUUGUCCUGACUGUGGGCCAGGCAGGAAAACUCCAGCUACAAAUGGCGCCCAAUGUGGGGCAAGAGUUUCCACCUGAAACCUGAAAAAAAAAGAUUCUAAAACAGAGCUAAAAACAGCUUCCUAGUUGUCUCUCUCAAGUUGGAGGGUUCCUGGUGUGCGAGCUUGACCAGCAGUAUGGCGGGAAUGAGGCAUCUACAAGUGACACAUUGAGCUGCUUGGUUGAUUUAGUC